UACGUAGGGGGCAAGCGUUGUCCGGAAUCAUUGGGCGUAAAGAGCGUGUAGGCGGCUUGGUAAGUCCGCUGUGAAAGUCCAGGGCUCAACCCUGGGAUGCCGGUGGAUACUGGCGGGCUCGAGUCCGGAAGAGGAGUGUGGAAUUCCUGGUGUAGCGGUGAAAUGCGCAGAUAUCAGGAGGAACACCAAUGGCGAAGGCAGCACUCUGGGACGUGACUGACGCUGAGACGCGAAAGCGUGGGGAGCAAACAGG
rnacentral:rRNA from 1 species